UUUUGGUGUGUAUAACUACCCUACAUGUGGUUACCUCCAAAGCUGAUUUGAAGCCUUCUUUGUGACCUUGUGAUCUUAAGCUGUCUGUAUCCCACCGAGUCCUCCAGCAUAAGUUUGAGGAGGAAAAUGUCCCCAGGGAACAGCUGAGGACUGUGCCAGGUUCCAGCGACACUUCAGCAGUGUCCUGCUUCUCCUGGGAGUGAUAUGGAAACCUCUGUGACAGCUUUACGCAGAGGGAGAAGCAAACUUAAUGUCUACCAGGAGCUCCUCGAAAUUCUCAGGCUGCUGAGAUGAUGGAUGACAUAAGUACAUCUUUCUGAUUUGGUUUUUCCCACUCUCCAUUACCUACUGCCAAGUCAACUCUAGCCUGCUACUUGAAGAAGAAUAUUGGAGCCUCUUGCUAUUCAGGUCUUUUAGGAGUGAUAUUGCAGCACUGAAUGAAAAUAAAACUUAAUGCUCAAUGGUUCAUAUGGUACUCAGAUGUCACAAGAAUAAUACUGUACAAGUAUCAGAAUAAAAUAAAAUGUGAGAACUGAGAAA